rnacentral:tRNA from 1 species
GGUAGUGUGGCCGAGUGGUCAAAGGUGCUGGCUUUAGGCUCCAGUCUCUCAGGAGGCGUGGGUUCAAAUCUCACCACUGCCA